GGUCACCUGUACAGCAAGAGCAAGAGCACCCCUGUCAUGGCGUCGCGGUGAUGAUGCUCGCCCGGCAGUCCUUCCACAUUUUCCGCCAUUUCCCGAUUUCGGGCGCCCAGCCGUACACGUGAACUAACAGUCUUGGCUUCAGGGCAGGUCGCUGAAAUGGUCCGCGAGACAGUGGCUGGCGAGGGAGAAGGAGGAAGAGGAGGAGGAGGAGGAAUGACCAAGAGGAGGGAAGAGACAAGAGGCCAAGCAGUGCAGAGAAGGAGCAGGAGAAGAAGGAGGAAGAAGAGGAGGAGGAUGUGACCUCUAUACAUAAAGGCAGAACUAUAUAUAGAAGCUUAUGGAGUAGAGGAAAUAUGUCAAUCUAUGGAGAAGGAGGAGGAGGAGGAGGAGGAGGAGAAGGUUAACUUGUAAAUAUAGGCAGUUUAUAUACCAAGGAAAAUAUUUAAAUGAUUUGUAUUAUGCAUCUAUUUAAAUGUACGUUAUGCACUUAAAUGUAUGUCUGUAUAAGGUUGUGGGAUUUACUUAUAUUGUCUGUGGUAUUUUUUUUACUUAUAAGGUUGUACUGAGGAUUUUACUUAUAAGAUCUAUGGCUGUAUGGAACUCCUAAAACCCUUUCUACUAUGGCUAUUAAUUAACAAAAACCUCUUAGUUUCAGCUUGUGUACAGGGUUAAAAUAUAGUUAAUGUUAGAGUU